AUUGAACGCUGGCGGCAGGCUUAACACAUGCAAGUCGAGCGGUAACAGAGAGACGCUUGCUUCUCUGCUGACGAGCGGCGGACGGGUGAGGAAUGCCUAGGAAUCUGCCUAGUAGUGGGGGACAACUUGCCGACAGGUAAGCUAAUACCGCAUCCGUCAUACGGGAGACAGGCGGGGGCGUCCGGGUGUUCCGCUAUUAGAUCACCGUAUGGAGAUGAAGGGUUAGUGGGUGAGGGAAUGGCCCACCAAGACCGCGAUCAGUAACUGGUCUGAGAGGAUGAUCAGUCAAACUGGAACUGAGACACGGUCCAGCCUCCUACGGGAGGCAGCAGUGGGGAAUAUUGGACAAUGGGGGGAACCCUGAUCCAGCCAUGCCGCGUGUGUGAAGAAGGUCUUAGGAUUGUAAAGCACUUUAAGUUGGGAGGAAGAGCAGUUAACUAAUAUUUGACUGUUUUGACGUUACCGACAGAAUAAGCACCGGCUAACUUCGUGCCAGCAGCCGCCGUAA
rnacentral:rRNA from 1 species